UCACGCGAUGCGGGAGAGCCCGCCGAUCACCUCGGCAGGCACCGAAGGAGCAAUUCUCCCCACCAAUCUCUCAGGUACGUGUACCGCAUCGAACAG
rnacentral:ncRNA from 1 species